CACUGAGGUGCGAAAGCGUGGGGAGCAAACGGGAUUAGAUACCCCGGUAGUGCACGCCGUAAACGGUGUCUACUAGCCGUUGGAGGACUUGAUCCUUUAGUGGCGCAGCUAACGCGAUAAGUAGACCGCCUGGGGAGUACGGUCGCAAGAUUAUAACUCAAAUGAAUUGACGGGGGCCCGCACAAGCGGUGGAGCAUGUGGUUUAAUUCGAAGCAACGCGAAGAACCUUACCUACUCUUGACAUCCAGUGAACUUUUGAGAGAUCAAUUGGUGCCUUCGGGAACACUGAGACAGGUGCUGCAUGGCUGUCGUCAGCUCGUGUUGUGAAAUGUUGGGUUAAGUCCCGUAACGAGCGCAACCCUUGUCCUUAGUUACCAUCAUUAAGUUGGGGACUCUAAGGAGACUGCCGGUGACAAACCGGAGGAAGGCGGGGACGACGUCAAGUCAUCAUGGCCCUUACGAGUAGGGCUACACACGUGCUACAAUGGCAUGUACAAAGGGUUGCCAAGCCGCGAGGUGGAGCUAAUCCCAUAAAGCAUGUCGUAGUCCGGAUUGGAGUCUGCAACUCGACUCCAUGAAGUCGGAAUCGCUAGUAAUCGUGAAUCAGAAUGUCACGGUGAAUACGAUCCCGGGCCUUGUACACACCGCCCGUCACACCAUGGGAGUGGGUUGCUCCAGAAGUAGAUAGCUUAACCUUCGGGAGGGCGUUUACCACGGAGUGAUUCAUGACUGGGGUGAAGUCGUAACAAGGUAGCCGUA
rnacentral:rRNA from 1 species